GACGAACGCUGGCGGCGUGCUUAACACAUGCAAGUCGAACGGUGAAGCGCCUUCCUUUUUGGUGGGUGUGGAUGAGUGGCGAACGGGUGAGUAACACGUGAGUAACCUGCCCCCUUCUUCUGGAUAACCGCAUGAAAGUGUGGCUAAUACGGGAUAUUCUGGGUCUGUCGCAUGAUGGGUCUGGGAAAGAUAUUGUUUCGGUGGGGGAUGGGCUCGCGGCCUAUCAGCUUGUUGGCGGGGUGAUGGCCUACCAAGGCGGUGACGGGUAGCCGGCCUGAGAGGGUGGACGGUCACACUGGGACUGAGACACGGCCCAGACUCCUACGGGAGGCAGCAGUGGGGAAUAUUGCACAAUGGGCGCAAGCCUGAUGCAGCGACGCCGCGUGAGGGAUGGAGGCCUUCGGGUUGUGAACCUCUUUCGCCAGUGAAGCAGGCCUGCCUCGUUUGUGGGUGGGUUGACGGUAGCUGGAUAAGAAGCGCCGGCUAACUACGUG
rnacentral:rRNA from 1 species